UCUCCAAUGAUGAGUUUUCCUGAAUAGCUUCAAUUUUAUCUCUGAGAUUAAGGAAUGUCAAAAGACUAUUAUAAUUUUGCACCUGCAUUUUGAGUAUUUUGCCUUUGUUCUCAUAAUAUUAACAUUCUCACUCUAUUGAAUAUUGCUCCAUGUGUGGCCAAUACAUUAUUAUGCCUCAUAUCCAGUGUUGAGCAAAAGGAAUAUGAACUUCUGAAUUUUGUACCAAAAAUAUGGUUGCUUUAACUGAGCUGAAGCAAAAUCCAUGUUUUUAGCAGCUUCUCUUGCUCUUAGCUCCUAGAAAAAAAUAUCAGAUUCCAAAUAAAGUUGAAAUGGUUGUUGAACUUAGGAACUCUUGGUUAGGUGGAUUUGGUGGGGGGAAUCCUUGACUUCAUCAUCCCACAUCGAAAGCAUAUGAGCAAAAGAACGGGUAGCCAAACCUACACAAUGAAAUGUAUAUCUGCAAAAAUCUGUUAUUAAAUCUGUUUAUCAUUUCUUUUUGCAAAAUCAUUCAUGAUAUUAUUCAAAAUCAUCUAUUGCAGAUUCUUUGCCUAAUUGCUAUGGAGAAGUCUAUUUCUCUUACACCUGAGCAUAUUCGAGAUGAGAAAGUGAAGGUGCAUCAAUUAGUUUCUUAUGUCUUCUACUGAUAAUAUGUCGGUGGUCCCUUUCUAUCAAUCGACUCAAGAUUGAAAAACUCUUGGAUGCCUUUUCUAGUAUGAGAAACAUAUCAAGAUUUAAGUAUUUCUUUUUUACUAUGGAAUGGAGAACAAAUGCAUGUAAAUGAAGGAGCUUUUCCCCUCGUCAUAUUGCUUUCAUUUCUUGCAUUGGGGAGUACAAGGUGUUAUGCCAGUUCAUUGAUAGAGUGGAGAAACACCCGAGCAAAAAAAUUGAUGAGAAGAUUGGCCAGUUCUGGAUUGUAUUUUUUUCAUAAAAGAACUUUUUUCAAGUUUUUAGUUGUAAUAACUUUUACAUAUGGCUCAAAUUUUGAGACUCAAAUAGAUGUUCAAUAAAACUAUAAUGCUAUACUGUUUGAA